CCUACGGGAGGCAGCAGUGAGGAAUAUUGGUCAAUGGACGAGAGUCUGAACCAGCCAAGUAGCGUGAAGGAUGACUGCCCUAUGGGUUGUAAACUUCUUUUAUAUGGGAAUAAAAUGUUCCACGUGUGGGAUUUUGUAUGUACCAUAUGAAUAAGGAUCGGCUAACUCCGUGCCAGCAGCCGCGGUAAUACGGAGGAUCCGAGCGUUAUCCGGAUUUAGUGGGUUUAAAGGGAGCGUAGGUGGAUUGUUAAGUCAGGUGUGAAAGUUUGCGGCUCAACCGUAAAAUUGCAGUUGAAACUGGCAGUCUUGAGUACAGUAGAGGUGGGCGGAAUGCGUGGUGUAGCGGUGAAAUGCUUAGAUAUCACGAAGAACUCCGAUUGCGAAGGCAGCUCACUGGACUGCAACUGACACUGAGGCUCGAAAGUGUGGGUAUCAAACAGGAUUAGAUACCCGAGUAGUC
rnacentral:rRNA from 1 species